rnacentral:rRNA from 1 species
CAGCCGCCACGGGAAUACGGAGGGUGCAAGCGUUAUCCGGAUUUAUUGGGUUUAAAGGGUCCGUAGGCGGAUCUGUAAGUCAGUGGUGAAAUCUCACAGCUUAACUGUGAAACUGCCAUUGAUACUGCAGGUCUUGAGUAAAUUUGAAGUGGCUGGAAUAAGUAGUGUAGCGGUGAAAUGCAUAGAUAUUACUUAGAACACCAAUUGCGAAGGCAGGUCACUAAGAUUUAACUGACGCUGAUGGACGAAAGCGUGGGGAGCGAACAGGAUUAGAGACCCCUGUAGUCCCUGUCUCUUAUAA